rnacentral:rRNA from 1 species
GACGAACGCUGGCGGCGUGCUUAACACAUGCAAGUCGAGGGGGUUCGUGGGGCAACUCACGGAUCACCGGCGAACGGGUGCGUAACACGUGAGCGACCUGCCGUACCUGUGGGGGAGUAGCCGGCCCAACGGCCGGGUAAUACCGCAUACGCUUGUCUUGGGGCGAUCCUGGGACAAAGAAAAGCUGUGGGGGCGAACCCUGUGGCGCAGGACGAGGGGCGUCGCGGCCUAUCAGCUAGUUGGCGGGGUAACGGCCCACCAAGGCGGUGACGGGUAGCUGGUCUGAGAGGAUGGCCAGCCACAUUGGGACUGAGAGACGGCCCAGACUCCUACGGGAGGCAGCAGUGGGGAAUCUUGCGCAAUGGCCUAACGGCUGACGCAGCGACGCCGCGUGUGGGAGGACG